rnacentral:rRNA from 1 species
UACGUAGGUCCCGAGCGUUGUCCGGAUUUAUUGGGCGUAAAGCGAGCGCAGGUGGUUUAUUAAGUCUGGUGUAAAAGGCAGUGGCUCAACCAUUGUAUGCAUUGGAAACUGGUAGACUUGAGUGCAGGAGAGGAGAGUGGAAUUCCAUGUGUAGCGGUGAAAUGCGUAGAUAUAUGGAAGAACACCAGUGGCGAAAGCGGCUCUCUGGCCUGUAACUGACACUGAGGCUCGAAAGCGUGGGGAGCAAACAGG